CCUCCGUGAAGCCCCUGCUUUCAGGGGUUAGUUCUGGAGUGGCCCAGCCCUGGGGCCUUCCCCUCUGUCAGGGGAAGUGACAUGGUGGCCACUGAUGAGACUGUCUGUGUAUGUUCAGGUUGUGAAGGAGCUCCUGACCCAGGGAGCUGACCCCAACCUGCCCCUGACCAAAGGCUUGAGCAGUGCCCUGUGUGUUGCCUGUGACCUGACCUACGAGCACCAGAGGAACAUGGACAGCAAGCUGGCCCUGAUUGACCGACUCAUCAGUCACGGGGCCGACAUCCUGAAGCCU
rnacentral:sRNA from 1 species